GGGGGGAGGCCAUGCCGGCCCGGCCCACUCACUCACUAACCCCCCCCGCCUUGCUCAGCUCAGCCCCGCUCCGGCCCCCACGCUGUGAGACGGGGCUUCUCCGCCCGGCACUUACCUGGUCCCGCAGCUUGAGGAACACCAUGGCCCGCGGCGGCUUGUGCUGAGCUGGCCUCGGCGGUUACCGGACAAACCCCGAGACCGAGGCCGCCCUCGAUUUUCCGCAAAUCCCGAAAAAUCAGAAACGUUAAAAAAAAACCCAAACUCACAACAUUACCGCCACCCGCAGUAAUCUGCACGGCCAUUGGCCCCGGCACCACGGCCACCGCAAACAACAACCUCAACCAUUGGAGCAGCAGCUCGAGGGACGUCAGCGCUGCCCUUUGACCCUUUCACCUGAGAAACAGCGGAGAGAGGGAGAUCAGGUUCGGAGAGCGUGUGAGGGGACAUGCUCACACUGGCUGUGGCAUGAUGUCAUAGCCAGUGAUGUCAGCUGCGCUGAUGAUGCCCGGGUGUGCCAAGCCUCCUGCAGGGGAUACAAGGCAGUGAUGGGAACCAGAGGAAAUGGACUCGUCCAGAGACAGAGAUUUUGCCUGGACUGAAUUGAAAAUGAGCAGGGAAUCUCUACUGGGACAAAUGGUUUUAAGAGUGGAACUCUGAAAAUAUUUGAGAGAAGACUGAGAUACCAGAGUAUGGAUGUGAACUAUGGAGAGCGAUGUAUCUGAGCGUCUGUGUAAAUGAUCUCUUCAAAACUUACAACGUGGGGGCUAUGAAAAAACCCAGAAGUAAUGUGGAAAAACACAGCUGCAAUCUUCAUGAUGUUUAAAUCAUUUCAAAAUAACCUCCUCUCUUAUUUCCUGCAAUAAAGAACCUGUUACUCCCUAAA